AUCACACUCUGCCAGAGUAUCAAAAAUUUCCCCGUCCAAACGCGUUUCCCCUAGCUUCUUUUAACCCAACGCCAUACACGUUCACCCGCCAUUCGCCCACAACGAAAACCUUCCGCUGUGGGCACUGUCCUUCAGCGAAACUCAAAAUCAAACAAUGGCGUCCGCCUCCUUCCUCUUCUCAACUCUCUCCAUCCCAAUUUCUCGCGAGAAAACGAACCCCACCAUCUCAUCUCGCAUCCGCUGCUGCGAGGACACUCUCGGGAACCCUAAUCUCAAGCUGAUAGACGCGUCUAACGGUAAAGGCAUGGAUCGUUUUCCAGAGAAGCUGUCCGUCGCGAGGGCAGGGUCCUGUCCUCGGCCGCGACGGAUCAUCCUGGUACGUCACGGGCAGAGCGAGGGUAACGUGGAUGAGAGUGUAUAUACAAUGGUGCCGGACCCGAAGAUAAAGCUGACGCAGAAGGGCUGGGAUGAAGCGGAGGGAUGCGGGAAGAUGAUAAGGGACAUGAUCGAAUCGGACGGUGUGGAUGAUUGGAAGGUGUAUUUCUACGUGUCGCCAUACGCGAGGACGCUGGAGACGCUGCGAGGGCUGGGGCGGGCGUUCGAUAGGGAUAGGAUUGCUGGGGUGAGGGAGGAGCCGCGACUGCGCGAGCAGGAUUUCGGAAAUUUUCAGGAUCGGGAGAAAAUGCGGAUCGAAAAGGUACUCCGCAAUCGCUAUGGCCGUUUCUUCUACCGCUUUCCUGAUGGGGAAUCUGCUGCUGAUGUUUAUGACCGAAUAACAGGAUUCAGGGAGACCCUUAGAGCAGAUAUUGACAUUGGACGCUUUCAACCACCUGGUAAACGGACAGAGAACAUGAAUUUAGUAAUAGUGUCACAUGGCCUAACAUUGCGAGUGUUUCUGAUGAGGUGGUACAAAUGGACUGUGGAGCAAUUUGAAGGUCUCAACAAUUUUGACAAUGGAGGAAUGCUCGUUAUGGAACUUGGCGACGGUGGAAGGUACAGCUUACUGGUGCAUCACACCGAGGAAGAGCUGCGCAGGUUCGGUUUAACAGAUGAGAUGCUCACUGAUCAAAAAUGGCAAAAAACUGCAAGGCCAGGUGAAUUGAAUUAUGAAUGUAAUGUGUCCGGACCAUCAUUCUUCAAGCAUUUGAGUUAAAAUGCCUAUAUUGGAGGACAAGAAAAGAUGAGCGGUUUGAUCGUGGCCUUCACCAAAGCAUAUCUGCCAUGGCCUGAAUGCUUGGAGCUGCAUCUUUAGCACACAUGGUGAGUGGGUCAACAUUAUCUUUCGGACAUGGUGGAUGCAAGGUGGCCUUUACAUGAUGAAUGGCUUGGAUAUUUCAUCAGCAUGCCAAUGCCGGCAUAUGUGGUGGUUUGUACAUUAGGAGACUGUUUGGAUGCAUCUUAUAUGAUGUAGAGCGGGUCGCGGACAGUUUCAUGGCCAAGAUGGAUCAGAAGAGGCCCCAUCGCAAGCGGAAGUGAUCCAGACCGUCAGGACCUUAAAUCAGGUUUAUCUCGCAAUACAGAAUGAGUUAUUUGGUGUACCAUAUAUGAUUUUGGGAUAGAACGAGCUACUGUAGCCACCCAACCUACUAUGUCGAGUUGCACAUGCUGAAUUUACAAAAUAUUAUCAGAUCGACGGUUGAAUUCCCGUUUUA